CUCACUUUCUGUAAGGCACUGUGCCUGUUUCUGCACCUAUGAACACAGCUGUCCUGCUGUGGUGUGUGCCCUCUCCUCUUAGAGUACAAACGUGCAUGUGCUUCAAAUGACUCCAACCACUUAAGAAGGUAGACCAAUAAAAGCUCUUUCA